rnacentral:rRNA from 1 species
UACAGAGGGGGCAAGCGUUAUUCGGAAUUAUUGGGCGUAAAGGGCGCGUAGGCGGCUUGGCAAGUGGAAGGUGAAAUCCCUCGGCUUAACCGAGGAACUGCCCUCCAAACUGUUUGGCUUGAGACCGGGAGAGGUGAGUGGAAUUCCCAGUGUAGCGGUGAAAUGCGUAGAUAUUGGGAGGAACACCAGUGGCGAAGGCGGCUCACUGGACCGGUACUGACGCUGAGGCGCGACAGCGUGGGGAGCAAACGGG